rnacentral:rRNA from 1 species
GAUGAACGUUGGCGGUGUGCCUAAUACAUGCAAGUCGAACGAAGACUGUAGCAAUACUGUCUUAGUGGCGAACGGGUGAGUAACGCGUUGGUGAUCUGCCUCGAAGUGUGGAAUAACCUCCCGAAAGGGAAGCUAAUACCGCAUGGUCUCUCAAGGUUUAGAAAAUUGAGAGUAAAGGAUUUAUUCGCUUCGAGAGGAGCCUGCGUCCCAUCAGCUCGUUGGUAGGGUAACGGCCUACCAAGGCUAUGACGGGUAGGGGACCUGAGAGGGUGGCCCCCCACAAUGGAACUGAAACACGGUCCAUACACCUACGGGUGGCAGCAGUAGGGAAUAUUAGAAAUGGGCGGAAGCCUGAUCUAGCAACACCGCGUGUGCGAUGAAGGCCUUCGGGUUGUAAAGCACUUUUUGGAGGGAAUAGGAAGGAAGGUACCUCCAGAAUAAGUCUCGGCUAACUACGUG